rnacentral:rRNA from 1 species
AUCGAACGCUGGCGGCAGGCCUAACACAUGCAAGUCGAGCGAUGCAUUCGGACAUAGUGCUGGACAGGUACGUAACACGUGGGACACUGCCUUUGGGUUUGGCAGGUCAGGGGGGAAUUCGUGCUAAUACGGGAUCUUGUCUUCCAACCAAAGAUUUAGCGCCCGGGGAUGAGCCUUCGUAGGAGUAGCUAGUUGGUGGGGUAAUGGCCUACCAAGGCGACGAUGCUUAGCUGGUCUGAGAGGCUGCUCAGCCACACUGGGACUGAGACACGGCCCAGACUCCUACGGGAGGCAGCAGUGGGGAAUAUUGGACAAUGGGCGCAAGCCUGAUCCAGCAAUGCCGCGUGAGUGAUGUAGGCCUGAGGGUUGUAAAGCUCUUUUACCCGGGAUGAUAAUGACAGUACCGGGAGAAUAAGCUCCGGCUAACUCCGUG